ACACUCCUGCGGGAGGCAGCAGUGGGGAAUUUUGGACAAUGGGCGAAAGCCUGAUCCAGCAAUGCCGCGUGUGUGAAGAAGGCCUUCGGGUUGUAAAGCACUUUUGUCCGGAAAGAAAUCCUUGGCUCUAAUACAGUCGAGGGAUGACGGUACCGGAAGAAUAAGCACCGGCUAACUACGUGCCAGCAGCCGCGGUAAUACGUAGGGUGCGAGCGUUAAUCGGAAUUACUGGGCGUGAAGCGUGCGCAGGCGGUUUGCUAAGACCGAUGUGAAAUCCCCGGGCUCAACCUGGGAACUGCAUUGGUGACUGGCAGGCUAGAGUAUGGCAGAGGGGGGUAGAAUUCCACGUGUAGCAGUGAAAUGCGUAGAGAUGUGGAGGAAUACCGAUGGCGAAGGCAGCCCCCUGGGCCAAUACUGACGCUCAUGCACGAAAGCGUGGGGAGCAAACAGGAUUAGAUACCCUGGUAGUCCCAUGAU
rnacentral:rRNA from 1 species